AACGAACGCUGGCGGCAUGCCUAACACAUGCAAGUCGAACGAGACCUUCGGGUCUAGUGGCGCACGGGUGCGUAACGCGUGGGAACCUGCCCUUAGGUUCGGAAUAACUCCCCGAAAGGGGUGCUAAUACCGGAUAAUGUCUUCGGACCAAAGAUUUAUCGCCUUUGGAUGGGCCCGCGUUGGAUUAGCUAGUUGGUAGGGUAAAAGCCUACCAAGGCGACGAUCCAUAGCUGGUCUGAGAGGAUGAUCAGCCACACUGGGACUGAGACACGGCCCAGACUACUACGGGAGGCAGCAGUGGGGAAUAUAGGACAAUGGGCGAAAGCCUGAACCAGCAAUGACGCGUGAGUGAUGAAGGCCUUAGGGUUGUAAAGCUCUUUUACCCGGGAUGAUAAUGACAGUACCGGGAGAAUAAGCACCGGCUAACUCCGUG
rnacentral:rRNA from 1 species